AGUCCAUGGUGAGGGCAUCGCCGAAGAAAAUCCUUGUAUCUCUCCCAUGCUUCAUACAAUGGUUCACUCUCAAGUUACGCAAAAUUAGAGAUUUCAAUGUGGGAAA
rnacentral:snoRNA from 1 species